CUGGGACAGCUGAGCCGGGAGAAGGGAAGGAGCAAGAACCACAGGAAGGAAGGAAAGAAAGAGGAAGAGUAGAGGGGAGGAGGGAGGAGAAAGGAAGGAGCAAGGAGAGCAGGACAUUUCUGCUUGAGAGUCUGGAACUUUUAGGAAAAUUGGAGAAUAACUGAAAUGUUUCUUGGGAGGAAAGGCUGGCUGAGAAGAGAACAGCAAAUAGCCAGAAUCAGGUCAGUUAGAAAAGUCACAAGUGGUCACUAGAUUGGUACGAUCCUACCUUGCUCUCUUCUAGGGUGUCUGGAAUCAUCGGCAGAGGGGGAGGUUCUUGGGCCAAUAAGUUAAGAAGCUGUUAGGGGAGAGGGUUCUUUGACAGGGAGCUGGGGAUGAGACUGAAUCCUGUUUGGACAGAACUGAGUCCUGUUUGCUUGAGUCCUGGCUGGAGAGACCUAAGGCUCACUCCUUUGCAUGUGCAUCAUCAACAGCACUUCCCAAGUGUCUACAGAGCCCUGAGUACUGUCCUGAACACCAUCUGUGUACAGAGAACUGUUUGCCUAUGGGGAACAGAGCCAAGGCUGACUUCGGAUGGCUUAUCUCAGUCAGUCAUGAGAUGGAGGACUAAGGACUGAAAAUUCCUGACCCUGGAGAUCGUGUUGAAUUCCCUGAAGCAAAGCAGAGCUCUGCAGUGAAAAGCAUCGCUUUGAAGUUGAAAGACCAACUGGUUCUAGAACUUCAAUGCAGGUGAUCUCGCAUUUGAUUUUUGAAUGUGUCUUGUUGGCCAUGCUGAAGAAAUUGUUCCAGAAGCAGUUUCUGGCAGAAAAAAGGCAAGACUUAUCACCUCUGUUUUGGAGAUGGGGAAAUUGAGAGACCAACUGGUUCAAUUGCCCAAAUUGAGGUAUUUCAUGGAAUAUUAUUCUGUCCUCAUGCUCAGGUAAUUGGACUCCAUGAGCUAAGUCCUGCAUCACUUGAACCGGCCAAUCUGGGGGGCGAAGACCUAUCAAGGAAUGGAGUCUCAUAGUAAAAAUGAGGAAGAACAUCGUUUCAGCCUAUCUUUCCUCAGCAAGAACUCGGAAGUGCUGAAGGAUUAAAGGUAGAUCAAAUCCAUUCCCACUCUAGAAAACUCAGCCAGGCCACCAGCAUUAAAAAUCACCAGAGGGAGUGGCUCCCUCCCUAACGUUUUUCCAGGGUCCUCUUCCCGUCUCCCUCAGCUGUCAGGUGAUAACUUACCGGG